AGAACGAACGCUGGCGGCAUGCCUAACACAUGCAAGUCGAACGAGACCUUCGGGUCUAGUGGCGCACGGGUGCGUAACGCGUGGGAAUCUGCCCUUGGGUUCGGGAUAACAGUUGGAAACGACUGCUAAUACCGGAUGAUGACUUCGGUCCAAAGAUUUAUCGCCCAGGGAUGAGCCCGCGUCGGAUUAGCUAGUUGGUAGGGUAAAGGCCCACCAAGGCAACGAUCCGUAGCUGGUCUGAGAGGAUGAUCAGCCACACGUGGGACUGAGACGACGGCCCAGACCUCGUACGGGAGCAGCGAGUGGGAAUACGUUAGGACAAUGGGACGAAAGCCUAGACUCCGAGCAA
rnacentral:rRNA from 1 species